rnacentral:rRNA from 1 species
AUGUCUUCUUGAGUCUCCAUAAUAGGAAGUCUAGCCUGCCCUGUGAUAARUAUUUAACGGCCGCGGUACUCUGACCGUGCGAAGGUAGCAUAAUCAUUUGUCUUAUAAUUGAAGUCUGGAAUGAAUGGUUGGACAAGGGUAAAGCUGUCUCUAUUUUAGAAAUAAAAUUUUAUUAUUAAGUCAAAAAGCUUAAAUAGAAUUGAAAGACGAGAAGACCCUAUCGAGCUUUAAAUAUCUUGUAAAAUUUUUAACAUUAAUGUAAUCGAGAAGUUUACUGAAAUUUUUGGUUGGGGUGACCUCGGAACAACAAAAACUUCCGGUAGAGUCUGUAUUUAGUAGAUACUAGAUCCGUUAAGUAACGAUAGUAAACUUAGUUACCGUAGGGAUAACAGCAUAAUCUUUUUUGAGAGUUCAAAUCGAAAAAGGGGUUUGUGACCUCGAUGUUGGACCAAAAUAACCUAAAGAUGUAGAAGUCUUUAAGGGUUGGUCUGUUCGACCAUUAAAAUUUUACGUGAUCUGAGUUCAGACCGG